rnacentral:rRNA from 1 species
AUACGUAGGGGGCGAGCGUUGUCCGGAAUGAUUGGGCGUAAAGGGCGCGUAGGCGGCCCGGUAAGUCUGGAGUGAAAGUCCUGUUUUUAAGAUGGGAAUUGCUUUGGAUACUGUCGGGCCUGAGUGCAGGAGAGGUAAGUGGAAUUCCCAGUGUAGCGGUGAAAUGCGUAGAGAUUGGGAGGAACACCAGUGGCGAAGGCGACUUACUGGACUGUAACUGACGCUGAGGCGCGAAAGUGUGGGGAGCAAACAGGAUUAGAUACCCUGGUAGUCCACACUGUAAACGAUGAAUGCUAGGUGUAGGGGGUAGCGACCCCUUCUGUGCCGCAGUCAACACAAUAAGCAUUCCGCCUGGGGAGUACGGCCGCAAGGUUGAAACUCAAAUGAAUUGACGGGG